CCCCUCUCAGGCUUGCACCUGGAGAGUUUCCAGUACUUACCAGUCUUGACCUCAGGAGGGAGAGUCAAGCAGGGGCAUAUCCAUUCCAUUCCUAGCUUGGGCAGUGGCUAGUGAGUGGAAGGCAACCUGCUACAAGU
rfam:Ornithorhynchus anatinus chromosome 6, whole genome shotgun sequence.